UACGAAGGGGGCUAGCGUUGCUCGGAAUCACUGGGCGUAAAGGGUGCGUAGGCGGGUCUUUAAGUCAGGGGUGAAAUCCUGGAGCUCAACUCCAGAACUGCCUUUGAUACUGAGGAUCUUGAGUACGGGAGAGGUGAGUGGAACUGCGAGUGUAGAGGUGAAAUUCGUAGAUAUUCGGAAGAACACCAGUGGCGAAGGCGGCUCACUGGCCCGGUACUGACGCUGAGAUACGAAAGCGUGGGGAGCAAACAGG
rnacentral:rRNA from 1 species